rnacentral:rRNA from 1 species
AUUGAACGCUGGCGGCAUGCUUUACACAUGCAAGUCGAACGGCAGCACGAAAGAGCUUGCUCUUUUGGUGGCGAGUGGCGGACGGGUGAGUAAUGCAUCGGAACGUACCGAGUAAUGGGGGAUAACUGUCCGAAAGGAUAGCUAAUACCGCAUACGCUUUGAGAAGGAAAGUGGGGGCUCUUCGGACCUCACGUUAUUCGAGCGGCCGAUGUCUGAUUAGCUAGUUGGUGGGGUAAAGGCCUACCAAGGCGACGAUCAGUAGCGGGUCUGAGAGGAUGAUCCGCCACACUGGGACUGAGACACGGCCCAGACUCCUACGGGAGGCAGCAGUGGGGAAUUUUGGACAAUGGGCGCAAGCCUGAUCCAGCCAUGCCGCGUGUCUGAAGAAGGCCUUCGGGUUGUAAAGGACUUUUGUUAGGGAAGAAAAGGAUAGUGUUAAUACCAUUAUCUGCUGACGGUACCUAAAGAAUAAGCACCGGCUAACUACGUG